CUGGAGUGCAGUGAUGCGAUCUCGGCUCACUGUAACCUCUGCCUCCCAGGUUCAAGUGAUCCUCCUGCCUCAGCCUCCCAAGUAGCUGGACUACAGGCACAUGCCACCACGCCUAGCUAAUUUUUUGUAUUUUUAGUAGAGAUGGGGUUUCACUGUGUUAGGCGUGAUGGUCUCCAUCUCCUGACCUCAUGAUCUGCCCACCUCGGCUUCCCAAAGUGCUGAGAUUACAAGUGUGAGCCAUGGUGCCCAGUCUGUUGAAUUUAUUUAUAAGCACAACAUGUAUUUAGAUGUUACUUUAAAUGAAAUUGUAUUCUUAUUUCAUUUUCCAAAUGCUCAUUGCUAAUAUACAGAAAUACAAAAGACCACUUACAUUGAGAGCUUACAUUCUGCAACACUACCAAACUCACUGAUUAGUUCUGGUAGAUUUUUGUAGAUUUCUAGCAUUGUUAACAAACACAGUCAUUAUCUGUGAAUAAAGACAGCUUCAAUUCUUUCAAUACUUUAUUAAUUUUUCUUACUUUAUUGCAUUGACUUAGAGCUCUAGUAUAAUGCUGAAUUAAAAGAGUAACAACAGGUAUUCUACUUUUUUCUCUGAUUUAAUAGAAAAGCAUUCAAUCUUAUGCCAUUUAAUAUAAUGUUACUUGUGGGUUCUUCAAAUCUGCCCUUAAUGGGGUUGGAAGUGUUGCCUUCUGUUCUCAUCAUGCUGAGCAUUUUCUGGGGUUUGUUUUUAUAAAUCAUGAAAAAAGUUUUCAAUUUUGCCAAAUGCUUUUACUGUGUAUGACAAGGUAAUCAUACGGUUUUUCUCUUUUGCCCUGAUAAUAUAUAAAAUGAUAUUUUUUAAAUAUAAAAAAGAGGCCGGGCAUGGUGGCUCACGCCUGUAAUCCCAGCACUUUGGGAGGCUGAGGCGGGCGGAUCACACUUGUGGCAGCAUUGAAGGCUUCACUCUUCCCCAAGGGAUCCAAUCUCCCCCCAGUCAAGAAGCUCCAGGUAUCUGAACUGGAUACCAGGUCAUAAAUUUCCACUAUGGUGACUCCAACAGGUCUCUGUCCUCAGAACUAGAGCUUUUCUAAUUAUUACAUAAGUUGACUUCUUAGUAGAUUUCCCAUCCAUUACAUCCCAGACACCUCACAAUGAUUAGUAACCACCACAUGUCCCUGCCUCUCAAGGAAAUCCCUCCCGCCUUGUCUC
rnacentral:lncRNA from 1 species